AUUGAACGCUGGCGGCAGGCCUAACACAUGCGAGUCGAGCGGAUGAUGGGAGCUUGCUCCUGGAUUCAGCGGCGGACGGGUGAGUAAUGCCUAGGAAUCUGCCUGGUAGUGGGGGAUAACGUCCGGAAACGGGCGCUAAUACCGCAUACGUCCUGAGGGAGAAAGUGGGGGAUCUUCGGACCUCACGCUAUCAGAUGAGCCUAGGUCGGAUUAGCUAGUUGGUGGGGUAAAGGCCUACCAAGGCGACGAUCCGUAACUGGUCUGAGAGGAUGAUCAGUCACACUGGAACUGAGACACGGUCCAGACUCCUACGGGAGGCAGCAGUGGGGAAUAUUGGACAAUGGGCGAAAGCCUGAUCCAGCCAUGCCGCGUGUGUGAAGAAGGUCUUCGGAUUGUAAAGCACUUUAAGUUGGGAGGAAGGGCAGUAAGUUAAUACCUUGCUGUUUUGACGUUACCAACAGAAUAAGCACCGGCUAACUUCGUG
rnacentral:rRNA from 1 species